UUGCUUCAGCAGCAGGUACCCUAAAAAUUGAAAGGAUACAGAGAAGAGUAACAUGGUCCCUGCAUGAAUUACUCACAAAUUCAUGAAGUGUUCCAUAUUUUU